GUGGGGAAUCUUAGACAAUGGGGGCAACCCUGAUCUAGCCAUGCCGCGUGAGUGAUGAAGGCCUUAGGGUCGUAAAGCUCUUUCGCUGGGGAAGAUAAUGACGGUACCCAGUAAAGAAACCCCGGCUAACUCCGUGCCAGCAGCCGCGGUAAUACGGAGGGGGUUAGCGUUGUUCGGAAUUACUGGGCGUAAAGCGCGCGUAGGCGGAGUGGAAAGUUGGGGGUGAAAUCCCGGGGCUCAACCCUGGAAUGGCCUUCAAAACUCCCAGUCUUGAGGUCGAGAGAGGUGAGUGGAAUUCCGAGUGUAGAGGUGAAAUUCGUAGAUAUUCGGAGGAACACCAGUGGCGAAGGCGGCUCACUGGCUCGAUACUGACGCUGAGGUGCGAAAGCGUGGGGAGCAAACAGGAUUAGAAACCCCAGUAGUCC
rnacentral:rRNA from 1 species